CUCCUCAUUCCCUAUUUUAAUACCUUCAAUUUCUUUUUCUUCUCUAAUUGCUUCAGCUAAUGUUUCUAGUACAAUGUUAAAUAAUAGAGGUGGUCUUAUUGGGAAGGCUUCUAGUUUGUCCCCAUUGCAGAUGAUGAUGUUCCCUGGUACUGUGUAUACUUGGCAUACCCACUUUUCUGUCAUUCCUGGUCUUUACUCAAUCUUUUUUGUUGCCUCCCUCCUCUUUCCAAGGACCAGGACAGAGAUUCCUUGAAUUAAUAAUAAUGACAGAAGAAUUCAUUUUUCUGAGAUGGAGAAAACCUUACCAAAGCUGUAUAGGGAAUGCCAAUGCUGAUUAUUCUCAUUUUUAAAAUAAGGAAACUUGAGUCUGAAAGAGGUUAAUAGGCAAGAAAGGCAGAGGCAUAGAUGAGAGAAUAGCAAUAAACCAGGGAUGAAGGGAGCCCUGGUGACAAAAAGGACACGGGAUUCUCUCUGUGGUCAAGGAGAUGGCAGUGAGAGGGGUAAAUUCACUCACUUACCCAUGGUCCUCUUUGGAGAGUGCAGUGCCAAGGGUGACAAGCCUCACCUGGCUGAGAUUGAGGUUUGUUUGGGCCCCAUUGUCACAGCAACAAGGGAAUGUUUGGUAACAAAGCCAGUGAUCUCACAGAAGCUGGUCAUAGCCCCACCUUCUUGAAGCUCAGGGAAGAGCAGAGACAUCCAGGAGAGAACUUGGAGGAAGAGGAAGACAAUAGAUUCCUUGGAAGAGCUGUGAGUCCUAGAAAACUACUGUCCCGUGAACAGAUCAUGAGGAAAUUGUGGUAUCCUGGAGGGACACCAGAUGGAACCAAAAGACCAUGUUAUUUAAGUCAAUUAGUCAAAAACUAAAACCUUAAUUUACAAUGAAAAAAGUUUUUUAAAAAAAUAAACAAUCUAAAUGACUACUUUCCUGAGCCUGU
rnacentral:lncRNA from 1 species